rnacentral:rRNA from 1 species
GACGAACGCUGGCGGCGUGCUUAACACAUGCAAGUCGAACGGAAAGGCCCUGCUUUUGUGGGGUGCUCGAGUGGCGAACGGGUGAGUAACACGUGAGUAACCUGCCCUUGACUUUGGGAUAACUUCAGGAAACUGGGGCUAAUACCGGAUAGGAGCUCCUGCUGCAUGGUGGGGGUUGGAAAGUUUCGGCGGUUGGGGAUGGACUCGCGGCUUAUCAGCUUGUUGGUGGGGUAGUGGCUUACCAGGGCUUUGACGGGUAGCCGGCCUGAGAGGGUGACCGGCCACAUUGGGCCUGCGAUACGGCCCAGACUCCUACGGGAGGCAGCAGUGGGGAAUAUUGCACAAUGGGCGGAAGCCUGAUGCAGCAACGCCGCGUGCGGGAUGACGGCCUUCGGGUUGUAAACCGCUUUCGCCUGUGACGAAGCGUGAGUGACGGUAAUGGGUAAAGAAGCACCGGCUAACUACGUG